GGCUUGGUAGGCAACUGGCAGACCACUUCGGCUCAGACCCGGAGAUGCUGUGGGUUCGAAUCCCACUCAAGCCA
rnacentral:tRNA from 1 species